UGCAGUCGAGCGAGAAAGUGUAGCAAUACAUGAGUAAAGCGGCGCACGGGUGAGUAACACGUGGGUAACCUGCCUCGAAGUGGGGAAUAACACCGGGAAACCGGUGCUAAUACCGCAUACUCCGACGGGGUCUUCGGAUCUUGUCGGCAAAGGAGCAAUUCGCUUCGAGAGGGGCCCGCGGCUGAUUAGCUAGUUGGUGAGGUAAUGGCUCACCAAGGCAUUGAUCAGUAUCCGGUCUGAGAGGACGGUCGGACACACUGGAACUGAGACACGGUCCAGACUCCUACGGGAGGCAGCAGUGGGGAAUUUUUGGCAAUGGGGGAAACCCUGACCAAGCAACGCCGCGUGGAUGAUGAAGUAUUUCGGUACGUAAAAUCCUUUCGACGGGGACGAAGACCGCAAGGUUUGACGGUACCCGUAGAAGAAGCCCCGGCUAACUCCGUGCCAGCAGCCGCGGUAAUACGGGGGGGGCAAGCGUUGUUCGGAAUUACUGGGCGUAAAGGGUGCGUAGGUGGCCUGUCAAGUCGGAUGUGAAAACUCUGGGCUUAACCCAGAGCCUGCAUUCGAUACUGACGGGCUAGAGUUCUGGAGGGGAAAGCGGAAUUCCUGGUGUAGCGGUGAAAUGCGUAGAUAUCAGGAGGAACACCGGUGGCGAAGGCGGCUUUCUGGACAGAAACUGACACUGAGGCACGAAAGCUAGGGGAGCAAACAGGAUUAGAUACCCUGUAGUCCUAGCCCUAAACGAUGGAUACUUGCUGUGAGGGGAUGAAACCCUUCGUGGCGAAGCUAACGCAUUAAGUAUCCCGCCUGGGGAGUACGGUCGCAGGCUGAAACUCAAAGGAAUGACGGGGGCCCGCACAAGCGGUGG
rnacentral:rRNA from 1 species